AUUGAACGCUGGCGGCAUGCCUUACACAUGCAAGUCGAACGGUAACAGGCCGCAAGGUGCUGACGAGUGGCGAACGGGUGAGUAAUGCAUCGGAACGUGCCCAGUCGUGGGGGGUAACGCAGCGAAAGCUGCGCUAAUACCGCAUACGAUCUAUGGAUGAAAGCGGGGGACCGUAAGGCCUCGCGCGAUUGGAGCGGCCGAUGUCAGAUUAGGUAGUUGGUGGGGUAAAGGCUCACCAAGCCAACGAUCUGUAGCUGGUCUGAGAGGACGACCAGCCACACUGGGACUGAGACACGGCCCAGACUCCUACGGGAGGCAGCAGUGGGGAAUUUUGGACAAUGGGCGCAAGCCUGAUCCAGCAAUGCCGCGUGCAGGAAGAAGGCCUUCGGGUUGUAAACUGCUUUUGUACGGAACGAAACGGCGAGCUCUAAUACAGUUUGCUAAUGACGGUACCGUAAGAAUAAGCACCGGCUAACUACGUGCCAGCAGCCGCAGUAAAAC
rnacentral:rRNA from 1 species